AAAUUUUCUGAAAUACUUGAACAGAGCCUUGCUAUUACUUGUAAGAAGUCUAAACAAGAUGCAAAGAAGUUUUUUUAAGGAAAUGUUUUUUUAACAAUUUUAUUUUACAAUUUUUUUACAAUGUUCAAGUAGUGAUCCGUGAUUGGUUUAUUUCAAAUACUUUUUUAAAAAUAAAUUUAAACUUCAAAAAAUUAUUAUGAAAACUAUAUUAACAUAAUAUAAUGAGUUUUUUAAAGACAUAAAAGGAUUUAAAGUCAUGUACCUUUAAGACGCUUGUAUCUGGUCUUGCACUGUGGACAAACUUGUCUCCCUUCUCUUCUUUCAUACUCAUAGCACGGUCGGCAUGCCGGAAAACCACACUCAUUGCAUGCCACAAACAAGUCUCCAUCCACCGUCACUCCCACAUCAUCGCCGCAUAUCUCACACACUUGCCCAUCCAAGUUCUUCAAAGGCUUGUGCUGCACCAAAGCCACACAACAACAUAAAUUAAUCAAUAAACAUUCUUUGAAAAUGAGCACCACAAUUAAACACCCUUUUCAAUUUUCUGCAAGUAGCUUUCAUGGAUGCUAUAGUGAUUACCUCUUCAUGGCCAUGAAUGACAACGAGUUCGUUCCUAUUGUGAGAACCAGCGACCAGUCCAGCGCUGGCUUCCAUGUUGGUGGUGGUGACUGGUGAAUGGGACAACAGUCUGACACAACACAAAAAUAGGUCUCCAUUGCCUUGAAGUUAAGCUUCUUCCUUUUGUUUUUUUCAACCACCAUCUCCUUCAUGCAAUCAUCAACUAUGACUACACGUUGGUCAGAUGUAUAUACGUACCUUUCUUUCCUAAUUCUUUUUCAUAGAGGAUGUUU
rnacentral:sRNA from 1 species